GGAAAUGGAGAUGAGGUGUUUCCUGCAUAUCAGUCUCCUCGCAAACCUGGCUGGUUCUCUUUGGACUUGGAUGUGCCAGAGGCAAUAACAGCUGCCUCUUGGAGCUCAUGGGGAUGGAUGUGAUAUCAAAUCACCCAGCUCUGCAUUCACUUGGUGUGUAGGAAGACCUCAAAAAAUGGGGGCUCCUCCUCCUCACCUGCACUGGGGGAAUGGAAUGAGCAGAAGGGCCAAGAAGAUCUCUGCACCUUGUGGAAUCAGUCAACAGCCUGGCUGGGACACAUCCCCACCCCUGUGCCCCAAUCCCCCACCAUGGCUGCUGCCAUCUCCUCCAUCAUUAAGGUGCCAAUGGGCGCCCCAGACAGCCCAAAUCUAUGCAGACUUCCCCAUUCCCCAUCCAGGGCCUCCACACCCCCAGGAGUAUGUGACAGGGCUGACCUGUGGUGGCCCAGGGAAGCAGAUGGCUUUGUCUCAGGGACUUUUUGCCUACUUUGUGGAGGCAAACAAACUAACAUCCCUGCCUUGCUGGCUGAGGUAUGGAUAAAAUGCUGUAAGACAGUGGUGGUGAACGUAUGGCAUAUGUGCCGCAGUGGGCUGUUUGUUAUCAUUGAAAGCUCUAAAAGGUUCGCCGUCACUGCACUAGGACAUCUGCGCACCUGCCAUGGUUCUUGAUCAAUGUGGGUGUUGUACUAAUAGUAACAAUCACUUGUUGGGCAUUUACCACAUACAAACUUUCCUAUAUUGCAUUAUUUCAUGGAGGCCUCUACCUAAGAGCUAGGUCCCACUUAUUACAUGUUUUAUAGAUGAUGAAGGUGAAGCAUGAAGAGAUAAGUAGCUUGUCUAGGUGCCAGAGCUGGGAAGUACUAGAGCUUGGAAUGGGUACCCCUGGGAUCUGUGCCUGCAGAGCAGAUCAUCUUCCUUAGCUGAAGAAGGUGAGUGGGGAGGACUGCCAGAGUUCAGCAUCCCACAUCUAGGAAGAAAGGCCACAGGGAGACGCAAAGUAUCUGUCCUGGGAGUCCUGUGCCUCGAGGAAGAUGAGGAUUCAGCUGCUGGUCAGGUUCCCUGGGGCUGAGGAACACUGCAGGACAACACACUUGAUCUUAGCCAAAAGGCCAAGAAGUGGGGACGCAGAAUACAGCCCUGUGACUGACUGAGUAAGUUUAUCUGUCAGAAUGGGAAGGGUUUCCAGAGGGAUCUGCACAGGUCUGGGCAUGUUCGGUUCAGGUGUUCCUGGCACCUUAUUACUGUGCAGGAACAGGAGAUUUGGAGUGAGUCAUGAGGAUCUUUACAUGCCACACCAAGUAACUUGUAAUUUUUUUCUAGGAGUGCAGGGUUUUAGAGCAGGAGAGUUUGGGGGCAGGGCUAGAUCCAUUGUUAUGAAAGAUUCUAGCAGGCAGGACCCAGGGUGGACUGUAGGUGGGGUCUGAGGAGAGACAUUCCAAAUGAGAAAUGAUGGAGCAAGAAUGAGGCAGUGAAGGGGUGAGGUCUGCACCCCUAGCAUCUGUAGGUUCUGUUGGCUCCCUGCCCAGGAUCACCUGUGCACCAUUGGGUCUUUCCUACAUACAGAGCCACUGCCCUGCAGACCUUUCCACAAUGGACAAAUAGAUGGCUAUAGAGAGCCUUUUUUUUUUUUUUUGGUACUGGGGAUCGAAAUCGGGACCUUUCACUUUCGAGGCAGGCAGCAGAACCACUGAUCUAAAUCCCGGGCCUAGAGAGCCUUUUUGCCACCUGAGCCAUGUGCUUUGAGAGCAUUUAAAAAAAAAAAAACCAAUUGUUUUUUGAGAUUUUUUUUGUUUUUUAGGAAAAGCAAUUUUUGAUGCCAGCAUUAACAUGUACAAAGCUUGGAGGCCAUCAUUCCCAUGCUUAUAAAGAGAAAAAAGCUCAAUGAACUGAAAGGGAAUCGCUUAUCUUGGACCCAUGGGGGAAAGGAGGUUGCAGGGCAAACUGCCAUCCCAAAAUCUAGAGACAAAUGCACUCACAGCCACCAUUGGCUUCUUUAGACCAGAAGCAGCUGGAGCCACAAACUAGUAGGAAAAAAAAUUUUUUUUUUUUUUGUACUGGGGAUUGAACUUGAGACCUUACGCUUGUGAGGCAGGCAGCAGAACCACUGAGCUAAAUCCCUGGCCCUACUAGUAGGGAAAUUUAAAUGGUGAUUUUGACAAGUUGAUGGAGGCUAAACGUGGCUUCAUGGCAUAUAGUCAAGAUAAAUCUCCAUUUGUCUCUAGCAAGGAAAAGUAGAAAGUAAACAUUUAAAAAUAUGUUCUAGGCUAGAUGCUGUAGCACAUCCCUGUAAUCCCAGCUACUUGGGAGGCUGAGGCAGGAGGAUAGCUUGAAUCUAGGAGUUUAGGGCCAGCCUGAGACUCCCUCUCAAAACAAAAAAACCUUAUCAGAGCCAUCUCACCCAUAGUUAGAACAAGUUCUCAACAGCGGCUACAUUUAACCUUCCUCAGGAGGAUGGGAAGACAUCCCAUCCUCACAGGUAUCUCUUUGAGUCAUAAUCCAGGACUCAGAUGCACUAAAAAGGUGAUUUAACUAUAAAAUUACAAAAUACUUCCCUUUCCCUAAACCUUACCAUCAUAUCAACAGGGCUCCACUAUAACAGUAGCAGAUUAUAACAAAGAGCUUCAAGACAGACUGAUUGAAGAAAUUCUUAGGGAAACUCAAAGACAACAGAGUAGACAAAACAAAGGACACUAGAGGAAUUUAAACAUGGCGGGUAAAGUUAGAGGAAACAAACUCAGUCUGACUCCUAAAUAAAACACCAAGUCUCCACUAAAUCUUUACUUACCUCAGUUCCUUUACCUUCAUGCUAAAAGGCAAGAAAAAAAAAUAGUCUACAGAGACAAAGCAAGCAUAGAACUAAGUUCAGAUAUGAUACAGAUUUUGGAAUUAUCAGCCAGGAAAUUUUAAAUAACUGUCUAAUAUAUUAAGGGCUCUGAUGGAAAAAGUAGACAGCACACAAGAACAGAUGAGUAAUAUAAGCAGGUGAGAACUCAGAGUGAAUGGAGAUGCUAGAAGUAAAACCACUGUAAUAGAGAUGAAGAAUGCCCUUGAUGAGAUCAUAAAUAGACUGGACACAGCUGAGGGAAAAAUUGGCGAUUCUAAAGAUAUGAUGGAAAUGUACCCAACUGAACUGCAAAAAGAGAAGAGAAUUUUUUUAAAGAAGCACAAUAAGCCAAGUGUGCUGGUGCAUGCCUACAAUCCUAGCAAUUGGGAAGCCGAGGCAGGAGAAUCCCACUGAGUUUGGGGGGCAGGGCUCCUGAGCUACAUAGUGAGACCCUGUCUCAACAACAACAGCAACAAACUGUAAAAAGGUAUAACAUACAAACUAUUGGAACACCACAGAUGAAGAAAGGGAGAACAGAGCAGGAGAAAUAUUUUAAAUAAUAAUGGCUGAUAAUUUUCUAAAAUUAAUGGGAGAUACUAAACUACAAGCCUAGUAAGCUUAGGAACACUAAUUAGUAUUAAUACCAAAUUAGUAUUAAUUAGUAUUAAUACCCCCCAAAAACUCCACAUACAAAAAAACACAAACAACCAAGAAAACCCCCAAACCCAAGACAAAAAUUCAAUACCUAGACAUCUAUUCAAAUUAUAGAAAAUAAAAAACAGCCGAGUGUGGUGGUGCACACCUGUGAUUCCAGCACUUGGGAGGAUGAAGCAAGAGGAUCACUGCAAAUUCAAGGGCAGCCUGGGCUAAUAGUGAGUUCAAGGCCGGCCUGAACUACAUACUGAGAACUUGUCUCGAAAAACCCCAAGAUAAAUAAAUAACAAAAAAUAUUGAAGAAACCACCAAAAAGCCCAGAUUACGUACAGAAGAAACAGGAACCUGACUUCUUGGCAGACACCAUGCAAGCAAGAAGAAAGGGGAGUGAAAAAAGGAUUUUUUUUACUGUGUUGGGGAUGAAGCCAGAACCUCAGGCAUGCCAGGCAAGCACUUCUCACUGAGCUGUACCCUUAGUCCUCAGAAUAUUUUAGGUGUUGAAAGAAAAAAACCUCAUCAACUUAGAAUUCUAUAUCCAGCCAAAGUAUUUUCCAAAAGUAUAUGUAGUAAAGGUCACUCAAUUUUAUGCUUAAGAUGAUUUAAAUGGUAAAGUUUAGUUAUAAAAAUGUUAUUUUAAAAAAGAAAUAAAAACUUUAUCAAACAAAAAAAUGAAAUUUAUUUCCAGCAGACACACCCUGCAAGAUAUGUGAAAAGAAGUUCUUUAGUAAAAAAGAAAAUGACAUAGGUCUGAAACUCAGAUCUAUAUUAAGAAAGGAAAUGUGUUGAAAAAGAAUAAAGACUUUCAGAAUCAAGCGAUUCCUGGCCAAGAAGCAAAGCAGAAUCGUCCCAUUCCUCAAUGGAUUCGGAUGAAGACUGGUAAUAAAAUCAGGUACAACUCCAAGAGGAGACACUGGAGGAGGACCAAGCUGGGACUGUAAAGAAUUGAACAUGUGAUGCAGCAUAUUUUUCUCCCGAGAGUCACAAAAUGAUACAUUCUUUGUCACGGUCGAGAUUACCCUAUCAAGCUAAUACAAUUGGCUGGACAGUUGAAUGUGCUUAAUCAGGAAUCUUGUUCUGUGAUUGCACUGAGUCAAC
rnacentral:lncRNA from 1 species